rnacentral:rRNA from 1 species
CCUACGGGAGGCAGCAGUGGGGAAUAUUGGUCAAUGGGCGCAAGCCUGACCCAGCAACGCCGCGUGAAGGAAGAAGGCUUUCGGGUUGUAAACUUCUUUUUUCAGGGACGAAGCAAGUGACAGUACCUGACGAAUAAGCCACGGCUAACUACGUGCCAGCAGCCGCGGUAAUACGUAGGGCGCAAGCGUUAUCCGGAUUUACUGGGUGUAAAGGGCGGGUAGGCGGGGAAGCAAGUCAGAUGUGAAAACAACGGGCUCAACCUGUGGCCUGCAUUUGAAACUGGUUUUCUUGAGUGCUGGAGAGGCAAUCGGAAUUCCGGGUGUAGCGGUGAAAUGCGUAGAUAUAAGGAGGAACACCAGUGGCGAAGGCGGCUUGCUGGACAGCAACUGACGCUGAGGCGCGAAAGCGUGGGGAGCAAACAGGAUUAGAUACCCCUGUAGUC